UACGUAGGGGGCAAGCGUUGUCCGGAUUUAUUGGGCGUAAAGAGCGUGUAGGCGGCCUUACAGGUCAGCUGUGAAAUCUCGGGGCUCAACCCCGAGCGGUCGUGAGAAACUGGCGGGCUAGAGUGCGGGAGAGGAGAGUGGAAUUCCUGGUGUAGCGGUGAAAUGCGCAGAUAUCAGGAAGAACACCCGUGGCGAAGGCGGCUCUCUGGAACGCAACUGACGCUGAGACGCGAAAGCGUGGGGAGCAAACAGG
rnacentral:rRNA from 1 species